GUACGUGUGAUGUCACGACGUCAUCAGCAAAUUUGCGCGCGGUGCACAUGCGCAUUGCAAGUAUGCGCAGACAGAUGUCUACGGAGUGGAAAGAAGUUGUUGCAUCUGAUAAUUCUUCAAUCGUGUAGCAGCAACUGCAGCUUACAUGGAAUGAGGAUUAUCGGAUUCAUCUACACUCACUGAUCAUCCAAGGUGAAUUGAUGACCUCAAGCAAAUGGAUGUUGUCAUCUGAAGAGAAGGUUGUCCUGGGCCCAUGUUUAGAGGCAUUUGGGGCAUAUCAGACACGUAUCAGAAUCAAGCUGCAUGCACACUUGAGUUUAUUCAGAGAGAAGUUGUGGGCAUCAGUCCGGAAACUGGAUCAAAAAUUUGCUGCUGGAAUGUGAGACAAAUAAAGGCAUGGAAUGAACCCAAAUGUAUGAACACUGCUACGAAAACUAAUGGACUUUGAAUGGCUUGCCAGUUAAUUCCAAUGGAAUUGAAGAAGAGACUCUGACAAGAUUUUCAAGUUUGUGUUUAAUUUAAAAGUUUAUCUUCAUAGAUAAGCAAUUUAAAGGUAGGCACAGUUAAAACUAUUUCUUGUGUGUUUGUUUAAACUGUAAAUUUAUGACUGAAGUUUGGUCACUAUGUAGUAAUGUGUUCCUUUGUGGUUAAUUAAAUGCUGCAGUGCUUAGUGGUAUUCGUUGUUGUAUUUCCAAGGCUUAAGCCUUAUUUUGUGAUCUGCAUUGUAUUGGAGAGUUUUGGAAACUAAUACUUAUUAUCUUAAUGCAUUGGAAAGUUUUGGACUAUUGAACAAUAAAUGCAUUUGGCUACAUCUGUGAUUUUCUGUUAUUUUAAGUGUUUUAGUUUACAUUACAUUAAAUGAUUUACAGCAGUUAAAAAAAAUUACAGUAAUUUUUUUUACAGUGUAGGCUACCAUGACACAAGUUGCAGCUCCAAAAACAUUUCUUAGUCAAGUUGUAUAGCUACAAGCAGCACAAAACCAAAGAAGUGGAUUUGAUGAAGUCAUGUUGUAGUAUUGCUGAACAAUGUUCACCAGUUAGAGAUUGAGGUGGAAUGUGAGUUAACAGUGGACGUGGUCUUACUUUGCAGCAAGAGCAAAACCCUAAAAGUUUCAAUGCUGAAGAGGGAUACAUUUAAAACACUAUAAAUUUACUGAUUUAUGUAAUUUUACUUACAUUUCUACAGAAAAAUAAUCAAUAAAACAUUUACAGAAAUUUUCUGUAAAAAUAAUUUUUUAAUCUGUAAAAAUGAACGGCAAAUUUCUGUGAAA